UGCAAACGUUGUUCGGAAUCACUGGGCUUAAAGGGCGCGUAGGCGGGCGGGCAAGUCGGGGGUGAAAUCCCACGGCUCAACCGUGGAAGUGCCUUUGAUACUGCCGGUCUGGAGGGAGGUAGGGGCGUGCGGAACUUCCGGUGGAGCGGUGAAAUGCGUAGAUAUCGGAAGGAACACCGGUGGCGAAAGCGGCGCGCUGGACCUCUACUGACGCUGAGGCGCGAAAGCUAGGGGAGCAAACGGG
rnacentral:rRNA from 1 species